rnacentral:rRNA from 1 species
AGAGUUUGAUCAUGGCUCAGAAUGAACGCUGGCGGCGUGCCUAACACAUGCAAGUCGAGCGAGAAAGUCUCCUUCGGGAGAUGAGUAAAGCGGCGCACGGGUGAGUAACGCGUGGGUAACCUACCCAGGAGUGGGGGAUAACCAGCCGAAAGGCUGACUAAUCCCGCAUACGAACAUUAGACUUAAGUUUGAUGAGGAAAGAUGGCCUCUGCUUGCAAGCUAUCGCUCUUGGAUGGGCCCGCGUUGGAUUAGCUUGUUGGUGAGGUAAUGGCUCACCAAGGUAACGAUCCAUAGCUGGUUUGAGAGGACGACCAGCCACACUGGAACUGAGACACGGUCCAGACUCCUACGGGAGGCAGCAGUGAGGAAUAUUGCGCAAUGGGGGAAACCCUGACGCAGCGACGCCGUGUGAGUGAUGAAGGCCUUCGGGUCGUAAAGCUCUGUCAGAGGGAAAGAAAGGUGAGGUGGAAUAAUACCCAUCUCAAUUGACGGUACCCUCAGAGGAAGCACCGGCUAACUCCGUGCCAGCAGCCGCGGUAAUACGGAGGGUGCAAGUGUUAUUCGGAAUCACUGGGCGUAAAGAGCACGUAGGCGGAUUGGCAAGUCAGAUGUGAAAGCCCGGGGCUUAACCUCGGAACUGCAUUUGAUACCGUCUGUCUUGAGUAUGGUAGAGGGGGAUGGAAUUCCCGGUGUAGAGGUGAAAUUCGUAGAUAUCGGGAGGAACACC